rnacentral:rRNA from 1 species
GAUGAACGCUGGCGACAGGCUUAACACAUGCAAGUCGAGGGGAAACGCCAUCGGAAGCUUGCUUUUGAUGGGCGUCGACCGGCGCACGGGUGAGUAACACGUAUCCAACCUGCUCAUCACGUGGUGAUAACCUUGCGAAUGUAAGACUAAUACCCAAUGAUAUCUCUAGAAGACAUCGGAAAGAGAGUAAAGAUUUAUCGGUGAUGGAUGGUGAUGCGUCUGAUUAGCUUGUUGGCGGGGUAACGGCCCACCAAGGCAACGAUCAGUAGGGGUUCUGAGGGUAAGGUACCCGACAUUGGAGCCGAGACACGGUCCAAAGUGCUACGGGACGCAGCAGUGAGGAAUAUAGGUCACUGGAGGAGAGCCUGACCCAGCCAAGUAGGGUGAAGGAAGCCGGCGCUAUGGGUUGUAAACUGCUUGUAUAAGGGAAUAAAGUGAGAGUCGUGAGUCUUUUUGUCUGUACCUUAUGAAUAAGCACCGGCUAAUUCCGUG